UUGAAUGAACUUGGCUUGGUUGUUGCUGGCUUCUUUGGAGGCAUGUGCACACCUUGUCAUCUUUAUAUCUCCACCUGUGCACCUCUUGUAGACCUGGAUUCAACAUUUCCGAGGCAACUCGGUCGUGAGGAAUUGCUUAACCAGCUUUCCUUGGUAGUCUCCAGGCCUAUGUUUUUCAUAUACACCAUAAGAAUGUAACAGAAUGUAAUUAUUAGACUUGAUUGUCUUAUAAACUAUAUA
rnacentral:misc_RNA from 1 species